rnacentral:rRNA from 1 species
UACGAAGGGUGCAAACGUUGCUCGGAAUCAUUGGGCGUAAAGCGCACGUAGGCGGCUUGCCAAGUCGGACGUGAAAUCCCUCAGCUCAACUGAGGACGUGCAUCCGAAACUGGCGAGCUUGAGUACUGAAGAGGAUCGCGGAAUUCCCGGUGUAGAGGUGAAAUUCGUAGAUAUCGGGAGGAACAUCAGUGGCGAAGGCGGCGAUCUGGGCAGAUACUGACGCUGAGGAGCGAAAAGCGUGGGGAGCGAACAGG